UUAAUAGCCUCCACUCUUCAGUGUGGGUUGCUGUGAUGUCACAGUGAACUGUUCAGUUAAAGAUGGCUGGAUGUUGUCUGUCUGUGACAGCGGUCAGUGUACACUGUCACAACAGUCUCCGUCACUAACCGGUGGUAACAUGACCAUCUCCGUAUUGACUGGAAGGAUCCAAUGCUCCAGCAGCAACCACGUCAGCACACAGACCAUCUCUCAACCCAUGGAGGACUGUACUGGUAAUGUGAAAGCCUCAGUGUUACCAGUUGGCACCAUUGUGGGUUGUGUUACUGGUAUAUUACUCCUAGUUGCUGAGUUACUUGGUGUUGGGUACAUCAAACAUACCAGAAGACAGAAAAUCCCUAAAGAACAAAGUCCACUAGAAGAGGUCAUUGUUCCAAGAGUUUACAACUCAGUGAAGACCUCACCAGGGAGAGAAGAACCUCAGCAUCUCCUUACCAGAACCACACCCCUCUCCUGUCCAGAACCACAGCACUCUCCUGACCAGAACCACAGCACUCUCCUGUCCAGAACCACAUCACUCUCCUGUCCAGAACCACAGCACUCUCCUGUCCAGAACCACAGCACUAUCCUGUCCAGAACCACAUCACUCUCCAGAGAUACAGACAGUCUACUUCACUGAGAGGAACCAGCACCAGCAGAACAUCUCCAAGUUGAAACAGGAAGUGCUUCUCCAGACAUUAGACCAAAAUAACAGAAAAUAACUGCCUCUGCACUGCAUCAUCUCAUUGAGUCACUGAGUUACAUCAGUUCUUGACCUUGUACAGAAACCACGGGACAUUGCACCACCUAGUGGACAUCAAUAAUACCAGCAGAGUAAACCUCAUGGCUUCAUUCAUCAACAUGUCUAGAUUCAUCAACAUGUUGGGAAGUUGUUUUAGACCAAGAUAUUUAUAUGUUCUAGUAUGUGUUAUUACAAUACCACAAAGCCCACGUUUUUCCAGAUUUGUCCAAUCCUAAAUGAACCCCUGGCUCAGGUUUACACCACAUUGAUUGUAGGAUCAGAUAGGUGUACCAGUCAGCAGUAACAUGGUAUUAGUUCCACCUACCCAUCAAUGUUGUGUAUAUGAGAGGGCAGACUUGACCUCAUUAGGCCACCGUAGAUGGAUUCUUUAACACAUUUUAUCUGUCAAGACAUCAAAGUCAUACGUCUUUUUUAAAGAAUUUGUUCCUAACUGACCUGCCAAGUUAAAUAAAGGUUCAAUAAAACAAA